CAGUCCAGGGGCCCGAGAGAAAUUUCCAGUGACAUGGAUCAACAGAGAUCCUCAAACAGUCAGUCCAUGUGCCACGUUCCAGCCAGGGACCAAAAGGGGGACUUUCGUCAUGGGGCCAGACAGACAUCCUCAAGCAAAAUAGAGAGAUGCAUCCAGGCCACCCACUAGGAGGUGGGAAAUCGUACGAAGAGGUGGCUGUACCUGGCAGCAGACUGAGAUGGGGUGAGGAAGAGAAGCACAGACCAAGAACGGAAUGUCAGACAUUUGCCCUUUUUUAUGCCCAGCACACACACACACACACACACACACACACACACACCAGCAUAUAAACAUGCACAUAGACACAGGCGCACGUGCACACACAUACACAGACUCUCAAACAAGAUGAGUCUCUGGUGAUGUUGGCAAAUAAUCUGAAUCGAUACACACGGCAAUGAUUCCACCAUGGUGCCCCACCUACGCAAGUCCUGUCCUUCAGCAUUGACUUUCUCCCCAGGUGUGGUGUGCCUUCAU